rnacentral:rRNA from 1 species
AGAAGGGCAUACGGGGAAUGCCUUGGCGGCUGGAGGCGAAGAAGGACGUAGCAAGCUGCGAAAAGCUGCGGGGAGAUGCAAGCGAUCAUAGAUCCGCAGAUAUCCGAAUGGGGAAACCCAAUAAUGCCGAAAGGUAGGCGAACCCGGGGAAGGGAAACAUCUUAGUACCCGGAGGAAAAGAAAUCAACGAGAUUCCGUUAGUAGUGGCGAGCGAAAGCGGAGGAGCCAAAACUUAUGCACAGAUACAGCACACGGGCGAUUGUGCAUGAGGGUAGCGGGAAAGCGUUCGGAGAACCGUGAGAUAUCCGAUCCGGUAAAGUGUAUAGGCGAAGUAUCUGGGAAGAUACGCUGAAAAAGGUGAAAGCCCUGUAGCUGAAAUGCACGUAACGGAUAUGCUUAUCCCAAGUAGAGUCAGACACGAGAAAUCUGGCUUGAAUCAGGGGUGACCACACUCCAAGGCUAAAUACUACCAGCCGACCGAUAGUGAAGAAGUACCGUGAGGGAAAGGUGAAAAGGACCCCGGAAGGGGAGUGAAAGAGUACCUGAAACCGUAUGCCUACAGGAAGCGGGAGCGAAAGUGACCGCGUGCCUUUUGAGUAAUGUGCCUGCGAGUUAUGGUUAUUGGCGAGGUAAAGCCGGUAAAGGCGGAGCCGAAGGGAAACCGAGUAUGAAUAGUGCGCAAGUCAAUAAGUAUAGACCCGAAGCCAGGUGAGCUACGCAUGUCCAGGAUGAAAGUAUGGUAAAACAUACUGGAGGUCCGAACCGGUGGAUAGUGAAAAAUUCUCGGAUGAGAUGUGGGUAGGAGUGAAAAGCUAACCGAACUUGGUGAUAGCUGGUUCUCCCCGAAACGUGUGUAGGCACGGCCUCGUUAAAAGAAAGUAAAGAAGGUAGAGCACUGAUUGGCGUAGUGGGGCGACCUAUGAAACCAGUCAAACUCCGAAUGACUUUACUGGAUGAACGGGAGACAGACUGUGUGGGAUAAGCUGCAUGGUCAAAAGGGAAACAGCCCAGACCGCCAGCUAAGGUUCCGAAUAAAUAGCUAAGUGUGAAAGGCAGUGAUUUUUUAGAGACAGCCGGGAGGUUGACUUAGAAGCAGCCAUCCUUUAAAGAGUGCGUAACAGCUCACCGGUAGAGAAAGAAUGCGCCGAAAAUGUAACGGAGCUAAAGCUAUUAACCGAAGCUGCGGAAUCAGGGAACUGAUUGGUAGGGGAGCAAUGUGCAGUAGGGAGAAGAUAAACUGUAAGGUUUAUUGGACGAAGCACAAGAGCGGAUGUAGGCAUGAGUAACGAGAUAUAAGUGAGAAUCUUAUACCCUUGAAGCCCAAGGGUACCUGGGGAAGGGUCGUCCACCCAGGGUAAGCCGGUACCUAAGGAGAACCCGAAAGGGAUAACCGAUGGAAAACGGGUUAAUAAUCCCGUGCCUGUAUAUUAUGAAUUGUAAGCGGUGACGCAGAAGGCGGAUACGCGAGUUCUAGUGGCAUGAACUUUUAAGCAGUAAUACCGAAGAAGUCUGCAGGGAAGUCCACAGACAGAGGAGGAGCUGCGAAUACAAGACCGCAAGGUCAAGGCGUAGUAGUCACGCUGCCAAGAAAAGCCGCGUACAGUGCUUGAAUAAUAUACAGACCGUUCUGAAAACCGACACAGGUGGGCAAGCUGAGAAGGCUAAAGGGAGCGGAAGAACCUCCGUUAAGGAACUAGGCAAAAUGACCUCGUAACUUCGGGAAAAGAGGUGCUCCUAAAGGUGUCAAAACCGGAAGGAGUUGCAGUGACAAGGCCCUGCCGACUGUUUACCAAAAACACAGGUCUAUGCGAAUUCGGAAAGAAGAAGUAUAUGGACUGACGCCUGCCCAGUGCUGGAAGGUUAAGGGGAGUGGUGCAAGCUACGAACCGAAGCCCCAGUAAACGGNNNNNNNNNNNNNNNNNNNNNNNNNNNNNNNNNNNCCUUGUCGGGUAAGUUCCGACCUGCAUGAAUGGCGUAACGAGUUGGGCGCUGUCUCAACGGAGGAUCCGGUGAAAUUCCAGACUGGGUGAAGAUGCCCAGGACCCGCAGUUAGACGGAAAGACCCCAUGGAGUUUUACUGUAACUUGAUAUUGUAAUUUGUUGUUAUGUGUACAGGAUAGGUGGGAGGCGGAGAAUCAAGGUCGUCAGAUUUUGAGGAGCCGACGGUGGGAUACCACCCUCAUGAUAAUGGAUUACUAACUAUUGUGUAUGAAGAGUACAGAUAGGACAGUGUUAGGUGGGCAGUUUGACUGGGGCGGUCGCAUCCUAAAGAGUAUCGGAUGCGUGCGAAGGUAGGCUCAGGUUGGUUGGAAAUCAACCGUUGAGUGCAAGGGCAAAAGCCUGCCUGACUGCGAGACUGACAGGUCGAGCAGAAGCGAAAGCUGGUCCUAGUGACCCGGCCGAUCCGAGUGGAAGGGCGGUCGAUCAACGGAUAAAAGUUACCCUGGGGAUAACAGGCUAAUCACGCCCGAGAGUUCACAUCGACGGCGUGGAUUGGCACCUCGAUGUCGGCUCAUCGCAUCCUGGGGCUGAAGCAGGUCCCAAGGGUUGUGCUGUUCGCACAUUAAAGCGGUACGUGAGCUGGGUUCAGAACGUCGUAAGACAGUUCGGUCCCUAUCUGCUGUGGGUGAAGGAAGCUUGAAGGGAGUCGCUUCUAGUACGAGAGGACCGAAGUGAGUGUACCUCUGGUGAACCAGCUGUCAGGCCAAUGGCAGGAGCUGGGUAGCUAAGUACGUAACAGAUAACCGCUGAAAGCAUCUAAGCGGGAAACUGACCCUAAGAUGGAGCUUCCCAUUCGUAAGAAGUAAGGGUUGUUCGAGACUAGGACGUUGAUAGGUCGCAGGUGUAAGUGCAGCGAUGCAUUGAGCCGAGCGAUACUAAUAGCCCGAGGCUUUGGACU